rnacentral:lncRNA from 1 species
CAGGCCGACUUUGCCAUCGAGGCCUUGGCCAAGGCCACCUACGAGCGCAUGUUCCGCUGGCUGGUCCUGCGCAUCAACAAGGCUCUGGACAAGACCAAGCGGCAGGGCGCCUCGUUCAUCGGCAUCCUGGACAUCGCCGGCUUCGAGAUCUUCGAUGCAGGCGCCCCUGGCAUCCUGGCCCUGCUGGACGAGGAGUGCUGGUUCCCCAAAGCCACGGACAAGAGCUUCGUGGAGAAGGUGAUGCAGGAGCAGGGCACCCACCCCAAGUUCCAGAAGCCCAAGCAGCUGAAUCAUCCGCUAUGCAUCUUCCACUAUGCCCGCAAGGUUUUCUGGUUGCCAGCACCCUGCCUUUCCUACAAGAUUCCUCCACCUGGAGAGAAGAUCUGUUGUCAAGUGGAAACAAACCUGGGUAGAAAAGCACACUCAGCCCUUCUCACAAGCUUCUGCAUCCAUCCAAAUGGCAUUGACCGCCAAGGCUGGGCCUCCUCGGGCAGGUCGCUGGGACCUGAAAGUACUGGUGCUGUCCCUGCCAUCAGGGAACAAGUCUAGAGGGACCUGACCGAAGGAGUGGAGGCCCCUCUCGCAGAUUCCAUGGCAGCAGAGCGGGGGACAAUGGACUCCACAGGGGAGGGUCGCGGAGGGCUUCUCAGAGGAGGCGAUGUCAGCUUUGGGCUUUGGAAGAUGAGCAUGAUUUUUCCAGGUGGUAGGAGCAGGUGUUCCUGGCAGAGAACCAGUGUGGGCAAAUGCCUAGAACUGGCAUGGGCGUGACAUUGAGCAGCCACAAUAUGAUAAGUAUGCAGUGAGCAUCUGGUAUAUUCUGGGACUGUGCCAAGUGCUUAUGGCACAAAGCUCUAUCUGGGCCCAGAGGGUGUGUCUGGGUAUUGCAGAGCCGCACAGCUGGGGACCAGAUCCUCACGGUGAGAGGAGCUGCUUUGUGCUCACCCUCAGCCCAAGGAAGACUCCUGGGAGAACAGGCCUCUGACUUGGCUUGGAGGGAGCUGGAGGGAGGGUGAAGCCACACCUCCGUUCCAGCCUGACCCAGAAACGGAGCGGAAGGGAGAUUCCUGAGACCCUGCAGCUGCCACCAUGAGCUCAGAUGACCCGAGGGACCACUCAGCUCUGUGAGGGUCAGUGGCCCACUGAGCUGAACCUGGUCUGGCCUUGGCCGCUUCCCACCUGUGUGACCUGGAGCGACUCACCUGACCUCACCUGUGAGAUGCGACCAUUAUUGCCCCGUGUGUCGUUAUGAGGAUCGACGCAGCGUGUGUCUGUGCCCUGGGCCAGUGCCUGUCAUGGUGCAGGUCCUCCCUGAGGGCUGUGGCUGAACCCCCCACCUGCACUUGAGAGUGAAAGCUUUUUGGAGGAGGUCACUGAGUAUUUUCGGAACACAGUGAGUAGGGAAGAACUGCAGCUCCUGCUCACUGAAGGCAAAGCCUGGGAGAAAUUUGUGACUGAGGCUGAUUUGUCCAGGGAAGAGGCAGAUGCACUGCGUGAGUAUCUGAAGGAGCUGGAAACAGACUUGGCCUUGGAGGACAAAGACUCCCUCCUACAAGACCAGCUGGAGAGAACGAGGUUUUUGCAGGAGUUUCCCCGAGUGAAACUGGAGAUCGAGGCGCAAAUAGGAAAGCUGCAUGCGCUUGCGGCCAAGGUUGACAAGGUGCACAGGGACUGCACCAUCUCCAACGUGGUGGCCACCUCCACCGGUGCUGCGUCUGGCAUCCUGACCGUUCUUGGUCUGGCUCUGGCACCCGUGACAGCAGGGUUCAGUCUGGCACUCUCUGCCACUGGGUUAGGGCUGGGAGUAGCGGCUUCUGUGACUGGUGUGUCCGCCAGCAUUGUGGACAAGGUCAACAGUUCAUUAGCAGAAAGAGAAGCCAGUCGCCUCAUGUCCACCAGCUUCAACAAAGCGGAGGUGAUUUCAGAGUCUCUGGGCAAGAGCACACCCCAAAUUGUGUCCUUAACAAAGAAUUUCAUCCAAGGCUUGCCACGCAUUGGGAAGAAUAUCCGGGCCAUCAAGCUGGCCAAAGCCAACCCUCGCUUAGCAGCCAAUGCCAAGCGCUUCAUGACCGCUGGGCAAGUCUCAGUUCGAAACAGAAGGCUGGUGAAGAAAACGUUUGAAGGGACAGUUCUGGCAAUGACCAAAAAUGCCCGGAUCAUCGGUAUGGCUACUGCAGGUGUUGCCCUUCUGAUGGACGUGGGCUUCCUGGUGAAAGAGUCAAUCCACUUGCAGCAGGGGGCAAAGGCAGAGUCAGCAGAAAGGCUGAGACAGCAGGCCCAGGAGCUGGAGAAGAAGCUGGAGGAGCUUACCAGGAUCUAUGAGAAUCUGCAGUAAGGCCUGACUCCGCCACCCCCAGAGCAGUGCAGAGACACGUCCGGGGCCAACACGCAGUGGUACCUUGGAGGCAAAGAGACGUGGACAUAAAAUGAUAAAAGUGGGGAAGCUGAGCUGGUCUCUCUGACUCUUCUUUUGGUCUAUUUUCUGGACUAUGCCGUUUCCCCAGAAGAUGAGAAAUCUGAAACCCUUGAAAAUUCAAAAGAUGUCAUUUUCUUCCCUGAAAUUCUUCCUCUUGGCUUGAUGAGUCACAAAACUUCAAGCACCAUUGUUGAAAAAUUAUUUCAAAAAAGUAUAGAAUAAAUGUCAUCUUUUCCGUUUUGUCUUUCAA